AAAAAAAAAAAAAUUGAUGAAAAAAAUUUUCGGAGAAAAUUAUAUUGUGCUUCGUAAUAUUUGGUUUGUAGAAAAUGAAAAAUAAUCUUCAAUCACAUAUUGACCUAGGGAUAUAUUUUUUAGACACUUUUAUAUAAGUGCUUCAUUUAUGUCAAAAUUUUUUUAAAAAAUCUAUUAAGGGCUAAAUAUAAAACUCAAUCCAAUAAAAAAUAAAAAAAUUCUCUACUCAACCAACCACAUUUAGUCAACUCGGCCCGAUUACAAAAAAAAAGAAAAAGAAAAAUUGAUCAACAUCUCUCCCUUCUCCUCCUCCGCCGCCACAACUGACGAGAUAGGGUUCCGACAACUCGAGUUUGGCCGCGAGAAUCUAACAGAGACUAGAGAGGGUUACGAUCACCACGUAUCUUUUCGCCACAGAUCACAGAAAAAGUGGGUGCCAAAUAUCAAGGCGGCCCUAUCUAUACCGACCCCACAUAUAGCAAUAUUUUUAAAAUGUUUCGGUAAUUCAGCCAGCAACACUUUUUAACCUAUACCGAUAUUUAAAAUUGUCGAUAAUUCAGCCAGUAGAUGUUUGGUUGAACGAAAAAGAAAGAAAAAAUAAAUAAAAAAUUAUUAUAUGUAUUUUCUUAUGUUAUAUAUAUUAUAUAUUAUUAACAUAUAAUAAUUAUUACAAUAUAUUUAAUUAUUAUAAUUUAUAUUUAGAAAAAACUUCAAACCCGCUCUAUGGUUUCGCACUUUUUCACUUUAGUACGUUGUGGUUUAAAGUGUAUCAAUUUGGUGUCCUGUGGUUUCAUUUUUAUCUUUUCGGCAGCUUUUCGUUUAUAUUUCGUUAAAUUAUAUACAGAAAACUUCAUAUAUCAAACUAGGUUUCUCGAAUAUUUAUUUUAGCACCCUUUAAUUUUAAUUUUGUUACUGAUUUAAAAAAAUAGUGAAUUGAUAAUAAAAAAAGAAAAAUAAAACCACAUGACGCUAAAUUAAUACACUUUAAACCACAUGAUACUAAAGUGAAAAUGUGCGAAACCACAGGGAAUUUUUUAAAAUUUUUUCUUAUAUUUAUAAAUAAAAUAUUAUAUAAUAGUGUAUUUAUAUAAAAAAUAAAAUAAAACUAUAUAUAUAUAUAUAUAUAUAUAU
rnacentral:lncRNA from 1 species